AAGCAGUACAGAAUGGAUGUUGGAGAAGAAAGGGGUUACUUCUGGGCUUCUGGGAAAACCAGAAAGAAGAUACCCAUAAUCCUCAACCUCCUAAUUU
rfam:Neotoma lepida isolate 417 scaffold_103, whole genome shotgun sequence.